UACGUAGGGGGCAAGCGUUGUCCGGAUUUAUUGGGCGUAAAGCGCGUGUAGGCGGCCAGGUAGGUCCGCUGUGAAAACCCGAGGCUCAACCUCGGGACGUCGGCGGAAACCAUCUGGCUAGAGUCCGGAAGAGGAGAGUGGAAUUCCUGGUGUAGCGGUGAAAUGCGCAGAUAUCACUUGGAACGCCAAUGGUGAAAACAGAUAGCUGGGGUUGUGCUGACGCUGAGACACGAAAGCCAGGGGAGCAAACGGG
rnacentral:rRNA from 1 species